rnacentral:rRNA from 1 species
GACGAACGCUGGCGGCGUGCUUAACACAUGCAAGUCGAACGGAAAGGCCCUGCUUUUGUGGGGUGCUCGAGUGGCGAACGGGUGAGUAACACGUGAGUAACCUGCCCUUGACUUUGGGAUAACUUCAGGAAACUGGGGCUAAUACCGGAUAGGAGCUCCUGCUGCAUGGUGGGGGUUGGAAAGUUUCGGCGGUUGGGGAUGGACUCGCGGCUUAUCAGCUUGUUGGUGGGGUAGUGGCUUACCAAGGCUUUGACGGGUAGCCGGCCUGAGAGGGUGACCGGCCACAUUGGGACUGAGAUACGGCCCAGACUCCUACGGGAGGCAGCAGUGGGGAAUAUUGCACAAUGGGCGGAAGCCUGAUGCAGCAACGCCGCGUGCGGGAUGACGGCCUUCGGGUUGUAAACCGCUUUCGCCUGUGACGAAGGGUGAGUGACGGUGAUGGGUAAAGAAGCACCGGCUAACUACGU